CAUCCCUAAGUUUAACAACAAUUAAUUUCCUUUCUUUAUAGCAUCCAGCUAUAAGGCAACAUGAUGCACAGAGCUGGCUACAGUUCUACAUAGAAUAAACUGCAUGAAUGAAGAGAAUGUGGUUUUUCCCCCUGCCCCAGCUGACACCAAGGAAGAGAAUGUAACAAUUUGUAUGGAAUUGCUUUGGACUGAUGUACAAAGAAUAAUAUUAUGUUUCAUAAUUAUGUUCCAAAUGAUAAAGGAUUUUUCCUGCCAGAACCUCUCUGUAUGUGCCCCAGCAUCAUCAACUGAUGGCAGCACAGCUCUGGGAAUAAACAGACUUUCAGCUAAUGGCAGGAAUUGUCAGGGGAAACAGCAAACAGGUAUUUCUUCCUGAUAUAGAAUGAAACAUAUGAUUAAAGUUAAAUGCCAAAUCCUA